rnacentral:rRNA from 1 species
GAUGAACGCUGGCGGCGUGCCUAAUACAUGCAAGUCGAGCGAACGGACGAGAAGCUUGCUUCUCUGAUGUUAGCGGCGGACGGGUGAGUAACACGUGGAUAACCUACCUAUAAGACUGGGAUAACUUCGGGAAACCGGAGCUAAUACCGGAUAAUAUUUUGAACCGCAUGGUUCAAAAGUGAAAGACGGUCUUGCUGUCACUUAUAGAUGGAUCCGCGCUGCAUUAGCUAGUUGGUAAGGUAACGGCUUACCAAGGCAACGAUGCAUAGCCGACCUGAGAGGGUGAUCGGCCACACUGGAACGGAGACACGGUCCGGACUCCUACGGGAGGCAGCAGUAGGGAAUCUUCCGCAAUGGGCGAAAGCCUGACGGAGCAACGCCGCGUGAGUGAUGAAGGUCUUCGGAUCGUAAAACUCUGUUAUUAGGGAAGAACAUAUGUGUAAGUAACUGUGCACAUCUUGACGGUACCUAAUCAGAAAGCCACGGCUAACUACGUG